UGGAUUGGGAAGAUUCUCUACCAGUUGAUGAUCUGGCUGCAUCUGAAUAUCAUUCAAAGUAAUGUAUGCCAUAUACGAAAUGAUGACAUUAUUCACGGUCAACACGAAGCGACUCUCCAAGUAAAUCUGAAACAGUGAAACUUUCUACUCUCUGCGUAUCAACUGACUUUAUCUUGCGAAGAUCAUUAACUAUGAACCAACAACAAAUUUUCAUAAAUGUUCCCAAACGUAAUCCACAAAAAUUGCAAGUUGUAACUGGGCCAGUUGAGGUUCAGCAGAAAGAUCAACUACCAACAGGUAAUGUACCAUUUGUGUUGGUGCAAAGUACCGAAAUUGAAGACAUUGCUUUUCCUCUUUGUUAUGUUGAAGGUAAUAUUCUUGUACGAGUUGUUGUGCCAAUGACUAUCUUAACAUCCAUGUUGCCAAGGACUGAAGUGAUUUCUCGUCAACAACCUAGCCGAGAUGCUGUGGGAUCAAGUCAUUCACAACAAGGGAAUGAAGAAGACCCUGAACCAAUGGAUAUUGAUUGAUAUCCAUUGGUUUUUCUUAUCAAUUUUUGUUAUUUUUUUGGGCAUAGCUAAUGCCAAUAAGGCUAGUCGUCGUCUAAUUACAUGUAAUGAGUGUACUAUUUCUCUUACACAAAACAUUUCUGUUGUUGAACAGUCUCUUUGCUAUAAAUGUUACUGUUUGUAGAGUCUUUGAUAUAGCAUUUUAAGUCUAAUCCAAUCUUUAAUUUAGCAAAGAGUUAAAUAUAUUGGUUGAGGAAUGACAAAA